GCCUUCGUGGUGUAGUCGUUAGCACGCUCGACGCGUAACCGAGAGAUCCGUGGUUCGAUUCCUGGAGAAGGCG
rfam:Stegodyphus mimosarum contig67336, whole genome shotgun sequence.